rnacentral:rRNA from 1 species
GGCGUGCUUAACACAUGCAAGUCGAACGGAAAGGCUCUGCUUUUGUGGGGUGCUCGAGUGGCGAACGGGUGAGUAACACGUGAGUAACCUGCCCUUGACUUUGGGAUAACUUCAGGAAACUGGGGCUAAUACCGGAUAGGAGCUCCUGCUGCAUGGUGGGGGUUGGAAAGUUUCGGCGGUUGGGGAUGGACUCGCGGCUUAUCAGCUUGUUGGUGGGGUAGUGGCUUACCAAGGCUUUGACGGGUAGCCGGCCUGAGAGGGUGACCGGCCACAUUGGGACUGAGAUACGGCCCAGACUCCUACGGGAGGCAGCAGUGGGGAAUAUUGCACAAUGGGCGGAAGCCUGAUGCAGCAACGCCGCGUGCGGGAUGACGGCCUUCGGGUUGUAAACCGCUUUCGCCUGUGACGAAGCGUGAGUGAUGGUAAUGGGUAAAGAAGCACCGGCUAACUACGUGCCAGCAGCCGCGGUGAUACGUAGGGUGCGAGCGUUGUCCGGAUUUAUUGGGCGUAAAGGGCUCGUAGGUGGUUGAUCGCGUCGGAAGUGUAAUCUUGGGGCUUAACCCUGAGCGUGCUUUCGAUACGGGUUGACUUGAGGAAGGUAGGGGAGAAUGGAAUUCCUGGUGGAGCGGUGGAAUGCGCAGAUAUCAGGAGGAACACCAGUGGCGAAGGCGGUUCUCUGGGCCUUUCCUGACGCUGAGGAGCGAAAGCGUGGGGAGCGAACAGGCUUAGAUACCCUGGUAGUCCACGCUGUAAACGGUGGGUACUAGGUGUGGGGUCCAUUCCACGGGUUCCGUGCCGUAGCUAACGCUUUAAGUACCCCGCCUGGGGAGUACGGCCGCAAGGCUAAAACUCAAAGGAAUUGACGGGGCCCCGCACAAGCGGCGGAGCAUGCGGAUUAAUUCGAUGCAACGCGUAGAACCUUACCUGGGUUUGACAUGGAUCGGGAGUGCUCAGAGAUGGGUGUGCCUCUUUUGGGGUCGGUUCACAGGUGGUGCAUGGCUGUCGUCAGCUCGUGUCGUGAGAUGUUGGGUUAAGUCCCGCAACGAGCGCAACCCUUGUUCACUGUUGCCAGCACGUUAUGGUGGGGACUCAGUGGAGACCGCCGGGGUCAACUCGGAGGAAGGUGGGGAUGACGUCAAGUCAUCAUGCCCCUUAUGUCCAGGGCUUCACGCAUGCUACAAUGGCUGGUACAGAGAGUGGCGAGCCUGUGAGGGUGAGCGAAUCUCGGAAAGCCGGUCUCAGUUCGGAUUGGGGUCUGCAACUCGACCUCAUGAAGUCGGAGUCGCUAGUAAUCGCAGAUCAGCAACGCUGCGGUGAAUACGUUCCCGGGGCUUGUACACACCGCCCGUCAAGUCAUGAAAGUUGGUAACACCCGAAGCCGGUGGCCUAACCGUUGUGGGGGAGCCGUCGAAGGUGGGACUGGUGAUU